UACAGAGGGUGCGAGCGUUAAUCGGAAUCACUGGGCGUAAAGGGCGCGUAGGCGGCAUGCCAAGCGUGUGGUGAAAGCCCGGGGCUCAACCCCGGGUCGGCCGUGCGGACUGGCGUGCUCGAGCACUGUAGGGGCGGGUGGAAUUCCGGGUGUAGCGGUGGAAUGCGUAGAGAUCGGGAGGAACACCUGUGGCGAAGGCGGCCGACUGGGCCGACCCUGACGCUGAGGCGCGAAGGCGUGGGGAGCGAACGGG
rnacentral:rRNA from 1 species